AUAGCACUUUCACAGGUCCUCCCCCAGGCAGUGGGGCCGGGAUUUGGUGGCAGGUGCUGAGAGGGGACCCUGGGGUGCGCCCUUGCCCUGGGACUGUGCCAGUGGCAGCUGUCACUCCGUGGCGCAGAG